UGAGGAAUAUUGCACAAUGGGCGAAAGCCUGAUGCAGCAACGCCGCGUGAGGGACGAAGGCCUUCGGGUUGUAAACCUCUUUUCUGAGAGACGAGACAAGGACGGUACCUCAGGAAUAAGUCUCGGCUAACUACGUGCCAGCAGCCGCGGUAAGACGUAGGAGGCGAGCGUUAUCCGGAUUUACUGGGCGUAAAGCGCACGCAGGCGGCUUCGUUAGUCGGAUGUGAAAGCUCCUGGCUUAACUGGGAGAGGCCAUUCGAUACUGCGAGGCUUGAGGUUGGGAGAGGGGUGUGGAAUUCCCGGUGUAGUGGUGGAAUGCGUAGAUAUCGGGAGGAACACCUGUGGCGAAAGCGGCACCCUGGCCCACACCUGACGCUGAGGUGCGAAAGCGUGGGUAGCAAACAGGAUUAGAUACCCUGGUAGUCCACGCUGUAAACGAUGUCAACUGGGUGUCGGUGGUUUUACACUAUCGGUGCCGAAGCAAACGCGUUAAGUUGACCGCCUGGGGACUACGGCCGCAAGGCUA
rnacentral:rRNA from 1 species